rnacentral:rRNA from 1 species
ACUGGAUAUCUUGAGUGCAGUUGAGGCAGGCGGAAUUCGUGGUGUAGCGGUGAAAUGCUUAGAUAUCACGAAGAACUCCGAUUGCGAAUGCAGCCUGCUAAGCUGCAAACUGACAUUGAGGCUCGAAAAGUGUGGGUAUCAAACAGGGAUUUAGAUUACCCUGGUAGUCCACACAGUAAACGAGGAAUACUCGCUGUUUGCGAUAUACUGCAAGCGGCCAAGCGAAAGCGUUAAGUAUUCCACCUGGGGAGUACGCCGGCAACGGUGAAACUCAAAGGAAUUGACGGGGGCCCGCACAAGCGGAGGAACAUGUGGUUUAAUUUGAUGAUACGCGAGGAACCUUACCCGGGCUUAAAUUGCAGAUGAAUUACGGUGAAAGCCGUAAGCCGCAAGGCAUCUGUGAAGGUGCUGCAUGGUUGUCGUCAGCUCGUGCCGUGAGGUGUCGGCUUAAGUGCCAUAACGAGCGCAACCCUUGUUGUCAGUUAUUAACAGGUUCCGCUGAGGACUCUGACAAGACUGCCAUCGUAAGAUGUGAGGAAGGUGGGGAUGACGUCAAAUCAGCACGGCCCUUACGUCCGGGGCUACACACGUGUUACAAUGGGGGGUACAGAGGGCCGCUACCACGCGAGUGGAUGCCAAUCCCCAAAACCUCUCUCAGUUCGGACUGGAGUCUGCAACCCGACUCCACGAAGCUGGAUUCGCUAGUAAUCGCGCAUCAGCCACGGCGCGGUGAAUACGUUCCCGGGCCUUGUACACACCGCCCGUCAAGCCAUGGGAGCCGGGGGUACCUGAAGUGCGUAACCGCGAGGAGCGCCCUAGGGUA